rnacentral:rRNA from 1 species
UACGGAGGGUGCAAGCGUUAUCCGGAUUCACUGGGGUUUAAAGGGUGCGUAGGCGGACAGGUAAGUCAGUGGUGAAAUCUCUGGGCUUAACUCAGAAACUGCCGUUGAUACUAUUUGUCUUGAAUAUCUUGGAGGUAAGCGGAAUAUGUCAUGUAGCGGUGAAAUGCUUAGAUAUGACAUAGAACACCGAAUAGCGAAGGCAGCUUACUACAGGAAGAUUGACGCUGAGGCACGGAAAGCGUGG